AAUCAACGCUGGCGGCGUGCCUAACACAUGCAAGUCGCACGAGAAAAGGGACUUCGGUCUUGAGUAAAAGUGGCGCACGGGUGAGUAACACGUGACUAAUCCACCCUCGAGUGGGGAAUAACCUAGGGAAACCUGGGCUAAUACCGCAUAACACUUACGAGUCAAAGCAGCAAUGCGCUUGGGGAGGAGGUCGCGGCAGAUUAGCUAGUUGGUGGGUAAUGGCCCACCAAGGCGAUGAUCUGUAUCCGGCCUGAGAGGGCGCACGGACACACUGGAACUG
rnacentral:rRNA from 1 species